CCUACGGGUGGCAGCAGUGAGGAAUAUUGCUCAAUGGGGGCAACCCUGAACCAGCAACGCCGCGUGAAGGAUGAAUGUUUUCCGGUUUUAAAAUCCUUUUUUUAAAGGAGAUAAUUGCGGUAUCUAACCCCUACUCCCCGUCUCACUCCGUUCCAGCAGCCGCGGUACUACGGAGGGUGCCAGCGUUACUCGGAAUUACUGGGCGUAAACCGGGCUUAGGCGGGAUAGCAAGUCAGAUGUGAAAUCCUACGGCUUAACCAUAGAACUGCAUUUGAAACUGGUAUUCUAGAGUAUGGAAGAGGUAGGCGGAAUUCUUGGUGUAGGGGUAAAAUCCGUAGAGAUCAAGAGGAAUACGGAUUGCGAAGGCGACUUGCUAGA
rnacentral:rRNA from 1 species